GUAGGUGGCAAGCGUUGUCCGGAAUUAUUGGGCGUAAAGCGCGCGCAGGCGGUUCUUUAAGUCUGAUGUGAAAGCCCACGGCUCAACCGUGGAGGGUCAUUGGAAACUGGAGAACUUGAGUACAGAAGAGGAAAGCGGAAUUCCACGUGUAGCGGUGAAAUGCGUAGAGAUGUGGAGGAACACCAGUGGCGAAGGCGGCUUUCUGGUCUGUAACUGACGCUGAGGCGCGAAAGCGUGGGGAGCAAACAGGAUUAGAUACCCUGGUAGUCCACGCCGUAAACGAUGAGUGCUAAGUGUUAGGGGGUUUCCGCCCCCCUUAGUGCUCCAGCUAACGCAUUAAGCACUCCGCCUGGGGAUACGGCCGCAAGGCUG
rnacentral:rRNA from 1 species